GGACCCGCCGCCGCAAAGGCUCCUGGGAGGGGCCGCUCCCGGCGCUGCGGGGUGACCUGGGUGGGUGCGGGCUGGCUUGAUCCGGCUGGGUCCGGUCUGCUCCGCUCCGCCCGGCUCUGCGGCGGUGAGGAGCAGUAGCAGCAGCGGCAGAGUCUCAUCCUGCUUCGCCCUCCUGCGCCGCUGCGGGAGGGCUUCCCGCCUCCUUUCGGUGCCGAGGGGAGUUUCUCCAGGAGGUGGUGGGGCCUGGGGAGGGCCUGCGAGCCGGGGGCCCGGGCCCUCACCCAGAUGCCCUUUUAGCGCACCCUUAUUCUCCGGUUUCCUACUGACUUUGUGCAGGCUAAAUAUGCCGUGGAGCCAUUCCUAGUAACUGCCGAUUCCCUUCUAGUAAGCCAACAGUCAUGCAGGAUUACUAUGGGGAAAAAAAUAAGAGUAACGGGCCAUCGAUUGACUUGAUCUGUUCUUGCUCAUCUGCCUUGUACCCAGGUAGAAAUAAAAAUACUAAUAAUAUUCCCACAGUAACAAAUAUCAGAGCUAUUUCCACGACAAAGAGCAAAUGGCAGCUUCCCAGGCACACGUGGGGCAAACUUGAAGUGAAUGGUGAUAUCCUGCGGGAAAGCAGAGUCCAUAGCAACUUUAUGGCAAGAGGAAAACUACAGAUGUGGGAAGGCACCACUAGCGGGUUGGAAAAAAGUCUUCAAGGCUUAAAGCCAAUGAUCAAACUGAAGUUUAACUGCUGAAUGAGAACAGAAGUUGGAAGAUUACACCUCUACAAUAACAGAACUAAACUUUAUGGCUCUUUAAAUGUUUUUGCCGUGUACUAAACUACAAUUUUCCAUCCACAUAAUGGAAAGAAUGAAUACAUCAGUAUUUUUACUUUUUUUUAAAAAAAUUGGUUUUACAUCCAUGUGAAUACAGGCAAUAAAAUGACAGAUAUCUAUUGUAUCAGUAGGUGGCAUAAAAGAAUGCCCUAGCUUUUCUUAGAAAGAAAAGGAUGUAAACAAGGCUACCGGUAGCACUGGAAAUUUUGAUAAGAUUUUAGUUUCUACAUUGGCUUCGUACACAUAUCUUAUUCUUCCUCCACGCUUAUCUUUCCUGAAAAACAAGAAUAUAAAAUAACUUUCUAUUUACAUUCUGCAGUAAUGGGCUAUUUUCUGUCUUUGGAUGGUGUCCUAAUGUGACAAAAAAUACAGAUUUUCCUCUGUCGCUUAUGGAAUGAUACACCACAGAAUUGCGCCAGUAAAUUAUGGGAAAUACAAACCUUACUCAGGACAACAUGGUGACCCCAUCCCGUGCUAAAAAUGAUGAUUCUUUUAUUACAGAGAAAAUGAAAAUCAUGAUUUUUUUUGUAUAAAGGAAGAGAAUUGUUAGGGGUCUAGGCUUUGUAAGUAUCUUUUUCCCUGCUUUUUUUUUUAACAAAUUUCUGCUGAAAUCUUAUCAAGAUGAGAAGAAAAAUACUGUUAUCAAAGGACAUGCAUAAAUGAUCUGUGGCAAAGUGUUUAAAAUGCUUACGGUAAUCAGACUUCCAGGUUCAUACAUAGAAACAGCAAAAAUGAGGGUCUCUGAAAAGGACUAUAUUAAAAUACAUACUUUUUCAUACUUUUUUAGGCCAAUAACAAGUAUUCCGUGUGCCUCUAAUUUUGAACAGUAACUUGCAAGAAUCCCGUUAGGAAAAAAGUCCAAACAGAAUAUGAUCAAGGUGAAAAUUUAUUAAGAAACAAAUUCUAAUGGACAGUAUUUCUGUAUUGAGAAGCAACAAGUAGUUGAGCAUGUCACUCAUAAGGGAACAGUGAAACUGAAGCCAGUUUGGGUAAUACCAGGGAUCAGACAUGGUUUUGUUCCAAACAACAGUAGCUCUGCAUAGAGUCCUCAGACUCAUAAUUGUCCUAUAUAUUAGAUAAUUUGAAGCAGGCAGAGAAGUAUUUCUGUUUAAGAAAGUUGGUUGAGACAUUUGGAUAGAGUCAAACACAUCAUGAGAAUUUACUAGGAUGAGACUGCACAUAAAUUAUGUUCCCAUUCAUUGUGCCAAAUUUUUAGAAAACUUCCAUCUGAAUAAACAUUCUGAUGUUUCUAUGCAGUAGUUAAAGGUUUCUGUUUAGUUAAAAAACUAGAGAGAAGCCGCAGACUGAGAUAAUUCUGUUGGGUAAUAUGAGGUAUAAUAUCAAAUACUGUUCUUCAGGAAGAUUAACUGUUACUGAGAACAGUCAAGAAGCAGCAAUUAAAUAAAAACUGCUUCCAAAACAUGUUUUCUUGUGUGGAAUCCAUAGAAGUCAGGCAAGCCUAUUAUUUUUUUAACUAUAUAAAGUGAAUUUUACCAAUUUUUCUCAUCCUCAAUUCAAAAAAAGGAUGUAUAAAUAAGAUCUUCGGGGAAUUUAUUAUGAAUGAUAGUGUUGGUUCUUACCAAAAGGCAUCAUGGCAGACCACUGUGAUACAAAGAGAAAUAUAGUAAGUACUUUCACUCCAAUGGAAACUAUUAAAUUUGAAAAAGCAGAAAGGAAUCCUAUAAAAAAAAGGGAACAAACACACAUGACUAGGACUAGGUAUAAAGGAACUGCAAGCAAAUGUGGUUUAAAUGAAAAAGAUUGUCACAGAAAAGAAUUUCAAAAUUUCCAAGUACAAGAAAAGAAAAAGAUCCUAUUACUUCAUGCUUCAACUUUUGUAUAAAGUAUCAGUGAAAAUUCCCAGAACGCAACAGGCCUACCUAGUAAGGUAUGAAAAUAACAGAAUAUAUGAUAUCCAAAUAAGAUAAAUAUCAUCAGCUUUGUAGGUAAUAAACUUCACUGAAGGAUACUUAAGGGAAAGCUAGAGUAACCUCUGUGCUAUGAGUAUCUUCAAGAGUUCUGGAAGCACUAAAGACUGCAAUCUUAGGCAUUAAAAAAUAGAAGGAUCAGGAAAUAAGUGAAUUAGUUUAACAAAUCCAAGAAUCUGAAGCAAAUUAUUAAACAAUUCGUCAGCACCAACAAGAUAAGAAUGAUGCUACAAAAACAACUUGCAUUUAUCAUGAAUAUUGUAUCAAAUGCUCUAAUAGAGUAACUGACCCUAACUUACCCCCCAGCAGCAGAGUUUAUGUCUUGGUUUUAACAAGCCUCUUUUGUCCCUGUAAUGAAUGGCAUGCUAAUUUCAUUCCUCCCCAUUCAGUUUCUUCAUCAAAGUAUUGCAUGGGACCAAGUCAGUUAUCUGCAGAAGUUCUAAGAAGUCAGCACUAAUCUCUUUACCAGAGCUCUCUAAUGAAGUUGGAGAAAAAUGUUAUCAAAUUGUUAUGAGAUCCUUCUUCUGUUUGCCUAUUUGAUUGGCACUGUAUCACCCUCCUGUAAUUUUGAUUAACCAAACUCCUGUAACAACUAAUUAAUUAUUCUGCCCAGGAUCAAUGCUAGGCUGUCAGGCCUACAAUUAUGUGUUAGUCAUGUUAAAUGCUAGCACAAGAUUCACUUUUUUCUAACGUGCUUCUCCAGUGCUGGGUGGAGUGCUGUGCAUGGUAUUUCUCUUCUAGUACUAUAUUCAGCUCGUCUGCAGAAUAUAGACCUAGACACGAAGGACGGUAGAAGAAGAUGCAGCAUAUGGUAAAGUGUUAGUUGGCAAACGUCAUGUUAGUUCCAUAACUUUUUUUUCUUCUGUUUUGAAUUUUCACUUUGAUUUGUGGUACAGUUAUAUUCUGCUUCUAAUAAUGAAGCUAGACAGGGAAGUAAAAAGGGGCAAUGGAAUUCAAGAUUUAGAACUAAGAUCCUGAAACAAGCAGAGGGAGAUAAUAUGGACGUUUGUGGUAGGUGCUUCUGAGCCUCAGGAGUGGGGAGUUCCUGCCCUAGAAAGUCUGUAUAAGUAAAACAAUUAUUUCGAAGAGGAAUAUAAUAAAGCCAAAAGAAUAAAUAUA